GAUGAACGUUAGCUACAGGCUUAACACAUGCAAGUCGAGGGGUAACGAGAGGGAAGCUUGCUUUCCUUGUCGACGACCGGCGCACGGGUGAGUAACGCGUAUCCAACCUGCCCCCAACUAGGGAAUAACCUUGCGAAAGUAAGACUAAUACCCUAUAGUUUCCUCAGAUGUCAUCUGACGAGGAAUAAAGAUUUAUCGGUUGUGGAUGGGGAUGCGUCUGAUUAGCUUGUUGGCGGGGUAACGGCCCACCAAGGCAACGAUCAGUAGGGGUUCUGAGAGGAAGGUCCCCCACAUUGGAACUGAGACACGGUCCAAACUCCUACGGGAGGCAGCAGUGAGGAAAAUUGGUCAAUGGGCGGAAGCCUGAACCAGCCAAGUAGCGUGCAGGAUGACGGCCCUAUGGGUUGUAAACUGCUUUUAUACAGGAAUAAAGUUAGCCACGUGUGGUUAUUUGUAGGUACUGUAUGAAUAAGGACCGGCUAAUUCCGUGCCAGCAGCCGCCGUAA
rnacentral:rRNA from 1 species